rnacentral:rRNA from 1 species
CCUACGGGAGGCAGCAGUGAGGAAUAUUGGACAAUGGGCGCAAGCCUGAUCCAGCCAUGCCGCGUGCAGGAUGAAGCAUCUAUGGUGUGUAAACUGCUUUUGUACGAGAAGAAACACUCCGACGUGUCGGAGCUUGACGGUAUCGUAAGAAUAAGGAUCGGCUAACUCCGUGCCAGCAGCCGCGGUAAUACGGAGGAUCCAAGCGUUAUCCGGAAUCAUUGGGUUUAAAGGGUCCGUAGGCGGGCUUAUAAGUCAGUGGUGAAAUCUCCCGGCUCAACCGGGAAAUGGCCAUUGAUACUGUAGGUCUUGAAUUAUUAGGAAGUAACUAGAAUAUGUAGUGUAGCGGUGAAAUGCUUAGAGAUUACAUGGAAUACCAAUUGCGAAGGCAGGUUACUACUAAUUGAUUGACGCUGAUGGACGAAAGCGUGAGUAGCGAACAGGAUUAGAUACCCUGGUAGUCCACGCCGUAAACGAUGGAUACUAGCUGUUGGGGGCAAACUUCAGUGGUGUAAGACGAAGUAGAGUAAGUAAGUACCACCGUCGGGUAAGGUACGGUUCGUUCGAAGAAAGUUAGAAACGUAACAAAUUAGAAGUUAGUUACGGGACGUUGAGGACGUUAGCCGAACGGACGACCGACGAGGGGAAGGUUAGGGAGG